rfam:Clostridium symbiosum WAL-14163 genomic scaffold supercont1.15, whole genome shotgun sequence.
UAUUGAGGUAGAGGUUGCGACGAUCAUCAGUAAGCGGCCGGAUGUGGCAGGAACAGUAGAUGACCGUGGAAAGGGAAAGACGCCGAAGAACAGUGUAUCUGCAAGUGCUGUUCUGGGCAUAUGAUGAAUAAUCAUAUGACUGUCAUCAGAAACGAUGGGGAGCUACGGGAUCA